CCUGCUGUAUUACCAGCAGUUUCCUAUUCCGGCAUGCAUCUCCAGCAAUGGAUUUGUGUGAAGCCCGGAUGACAAUGAAACCCUCGGCCUCCGGCCGGAAGAGAGAAUCGCGAGAGAACCUCAACUCUGGGAGCAUCAACCCGGAUGGGAGC
rfam:Microbial mat metagenome hsmat03_BHWI5634_y1, whole genome shotgun sequence.